rnacentral:rRNA from 7 species
UGACCUCAAAUCAGGUAGGACUAC